UGAGAGCAAGCUGUUAAGCACUUCAUUUACACUGAAACGGUACUUGCAUAUGCAAGGUUCUUAA
rnacentral:tRNA from 1 species